AGCAAUGACCAUCAGGGGAAGAGAUUAGGGGUGCCACCUUAGAGUUUGCCACACGGUCUUCCUAAGAAAACCAAGAUCUAGAAUUUCUAGUAGAAUUUUCUUUUGUUCGUCUAAGAAUCAAUUGAUUCUUAAUUCUAAGCUUGAAGUGUAACUGCAUUUUUAUGGGUAGAAAGAUCAACCGUGUGAACCAAGCUGAGUAUCUUCACCAGCCCCUGAGUUGCUGCACUGUGAACUGGGUAUACAGACUGCUAAUGCUUUGUUAGGAGUUCUUUCAACAUGGAAACUACUUGAUACAUCAGCUUUGAAGCAAUGCGGCAUACGCAUGCUCUAGAAAGGUAAAAUGCUAAGGUCUGUCCUGCUGAAGAGUCCAGUGGCCACACCAGUUUCACAUUACACAGAACACAGCUUCUUCACAACCUCUGACCAUCUCCAUCCUCUGAAGUGGUCCACUGGAUCUAAUGUCCCAACAUGCUGUGCUAUUUGUAACAUGCUGAGGGCUCUGCCCCAC
rnacentral:lncRNA from 1 species